rnacentral:rRNA from 1 species
UACGUAGGGUGCAAGCGUUGUCCGGAAUUAUUGGGCGUAAAGAGCUCGUAGGCGGUCUGUUGCGUCGGCUGUGAAAACCCGGGGCUCAACUCCGGGCCUGCAGCCGAUACGGGCAGACUAGAGUUCGGCAGGGGAGACUGGAAUUCCUGGUGUAGCGGUGAAAUGCGCAGAUAUCAGGGGGAACACCGGUGGCGAAGGCGGGUCUCUGGGCCGAUACUGACGCUGAGGAGCGAAAGCGUGGGGAGCGAACAGG